rnacentral:rRNA from 1 species
AUGGGGAAACCACUCGAUCCCUGUAUGCCAAUGGCGCGGAGUGGCCUGCGGCACGCGUGGCCACCGCCGCGGACGCGUCGUGGCACUGGAUCUUCACGGGCUCAACCUUGUUGGCACCAUUGCCUCUUCCAUAGCAGGAACUCCAUCGGCGGGGAGAUCCCGCCGACACUGGCCACUUGUGUUCAGCUUCGAGUUAUUGAUCUGAGGCACAACAUGCAUAAAGGCUUGGUGCCCCGGGAGUUGGCAUCCUUGCAUAAUCUUGAGGUAUUGGCUCUUGGGUACAACAACUUUACAGGAAGUAUCCCUGUGGAGAUUGGAAACCUGAAAGGCCUGACCCGUCUUCAUCUGGCGUCAAACAUGCUAGUAGGAGAAAUACCAACAGAGAUUGCAAAUCUUAGAAACUUGACCAAGUUAUAUCUUAGCUUCAAUCGCCUGUCAGGUCCUGUUCAUGCCUUUCUUGGUGGCCUCCAAAAAUUACAGAUUCUGUAUCUAGGGCCGAACCGUUUCUCAGGGCCGAUUCCACCUUCCCUAGGAAACCUCUCAUCUCUACUAGUUCUAGAUGUCCAAAUAAAUGGCCUAACUGGUAGCAUCCCUGAAUCGUUAGGAAAUCUGAAUCUGCUCAACGUCCUUUCUCUCACAUCUAAUAGUCUUACAGGCUCAAUCCCUCAUACUCUUGGAAAACUCAGUUCUCUUGUUGAGUUUUAUCUCAACGGGAAUCAACUCGAGGGUUCUAUACCACCUUCUGUCUAUAAUUUCUCAUCCCUCCAAAUUUUUAGUGUCCAAUACAACAACCUGAGUGGACCCAUUUCAUAUCACUUGGGUAAUAAGUUUCCACAACUCCAGAACCUUAGCAUAGACAAUAAUAGGUUUCAUGGGUCCAUCCCAGAGUCUUUGUGCAAUGCUUCAAUGCUUGAAAUAGUACAACUGAGCGAGAACUUCUUUUCCGGAGUAAUACCAAAAUGUCUUGGAGCUACCAUGAAGAGCUUAUCGGCACUGCUUCUCUCAUAUAACCAGUUAGAGGCAAGGAAUGAUGCUGAUUGGGAUUUCAUUUCUAGCUUGACAAACAGUAGUAUGCUACAGUACCUAGCUCUUGGCCAUAACAAACUACAAGGGGUGCUACCAAAUUCAAUGGCAAACCUUUCCACAAACUUGAGAUAUUUCAGCGUGUCAGGCAACAUGCUACGGGGAAAUAUACCUGAAGGAAUUGGAAAUCUUGUCAACUUGCAACACUUGCAGGUGGAUGGUAAUUUCCUAGAUGGAAAAAUUCCUGAAUCGAUUGGCAAUCUUAGGAUCCUGGUUGAAUUAUACUUGUCAAACAAUGGUUUAUCUGGACCAAUUCCACCAAUGCUUGGAAAUCUCACAGCAUUAAUUAUACUUGACCUCAGCCAAAAUGUGCUUACUGGGCCCAUACCAUCCAGCCUUGGAAGCUGCCCUCUGGAGACAUUGAGCCUAGCAUUCAAUCAGCUUAUAGGUUCAAUACCAAAAGAGAUUUUCCUCAUAUCGGCACUAUCUGUUUCCAUGGAGCUGCAAGGGAACAUGUUAACUGGGACAUUUCCUCAAGAAGUUAGUAAUCUAGUGAAUCUUGGAUAUCUGAAUGUGUCUGACAACAGGAUAUCUGGCUUAAUUCCUGCCUCUCUAGCUCAGUGCAGAAGUUUGCAGUAUCUCAGUAUAGAAGGUAACCUAUUUCAGGGCCCAAUUCCAGCAUCAAUGUCACAGAUGAAAGGCCUUCUGGUUCUUGAUGUUUCAAGAAACAACUUGUCCGGGGACAUCCCAGUAUUCCUUGGGGACAUGCAGGGGCUCGCUAUCCUGAACAUAUCAUUCAACAAUUUUGAGGGUGAAGUUCCAAAACGUGAAUUAUUUCUGAAUGCAAGUGCAGCUCUGAUUGAAGGGAACUAUGGAUUAUGUGGAGGUAUCCCCCAAUUCAACUUGCAUCCCUGCUCAAAUCAUACAUCCGAGAAGUGGUCUCACAAGCUUGUCGUGUUGAUCUCAGUAGGAAGCGCAGUUCUUUGCAUUAUGUUAGUACUAUUUGCACUAUUUGCACACCGGAAAUUGAGAAGCAAGUUUACAAUGACAAGACGGGUUCCAUCACUCCAUAGCGGACAGCAUAUAAGGGUUACCUAUGUUGAAUUAGUGAGAGCAACAAGUGGUUUUGCUUCUGAGAACCUCAUAGGCACAGGAAGCUUCGGCUCUGUGUACAAAGGAAGAAUGAUGAAUGGAAAUCAGGAAGUGAUUGUCGCUGUGAAGGUGCUCAACCUCGAGCAGCGAGGGGCAUCUCAAAGCUUUGUUGCGGAAUGUGAGACUUUAAGAUGCAUCAGACAUCGAAACCUUGUGAAGAUAUUGACCGUCUGCUCGAGUAUUGAUUCCAGGGGUCUAGACUUCAAAGCUCUCGUAUUUGAGUUCAUGCCGAAUGGAGAUCUUGAUCAAUGGCAACACAGCCGUCUCCUGGAAGAUGGGAGCCAUGGCGUGCUCAGUCUUACCCAAAGGAUAGACAUUGCCAUUGAUGUCGCUUCAGCACUCGAAUACCUUCACCACAAUAAGCCAGUGCCAAUAGUUCAUUGUGAUCUUAAGCCAAGCAAUAUUCUCCUCGAUAAUGACAUGGUUUCCCAUGUGGGUGAUUUUGGACUCGCAAGGUUCUUGCAGCAGGAUGAUACUAGCCUCCCAGAAAUAUCAAGUGGUUGGGCUACAAGAAGGGGAACAAUUGGAUAUGCUGCCCCAGAGUACGGCCAAGCAAAUGAAGUCUCGGUCUAUGGUGAUACCUAUAGCUACGGAAUACUGCUGUUAGAGUUGUUCACUGGCAAAAGGCCAACUGAUGGUGAGUUUCUGCAAGAUCUAAACCUACAUAGUUACGUUGAGAUAGCACUCAGAGACAAAGCAGCCAACCUGGUCGAUCUGUGCUUACUAUCUUCACUGGAGGAAGGGACAACCAUGAGGGCUGCAUGCAUCACUUCAAUUCUGCACAUUGGGAUAUUAUGUUCAAAGGAACAGCCAACUGAUCGCAUGCAGAUUGGGGAUGCUAUGAGAGAGCUACUGGCGAUCAGAGACAAGUAUCACACACACCUAUUGAGUGAAGGUGGGUCCAUCUAA